GCUGUAAAAAAAAACAAUCAUGAACAACUUUUCAAAUAUACAAGUUCAUUUGAUGUUUAAAGUGUCUAAAAUUUACUCUUUUCUUUAUCUGACAUGUACCUUUUCAUUAUUUGUAUUUACAUUCAACUACAAUUUUUUUAUCUAGAAAUGUUGUUGCAUGAAAGUUGAAUGGAGUUUUUGUCCCUUCAUCGAUCUGAAAACAAAGAAAAGAGACACAGGAAACAGAAUAUGGUGAUAGUUUGCAGCAAAGUCAAAUGAUGUUCAUGUCUCUUUAACAAACUACAAAGAAAGACAUUAUUAUGAAGAAAUAAACUGAUACCUUGAUUUUACUUUGCAGAGUUCUUAUUUUAUAUCUGGAAAAAAAUAUCUAUUAUGUCAAACAUGCUCUUUUAAUCUAUAGAUUAAUAUAUUUAACAAAGGUAAAAGAAAAACAUGUAUUGUUCUUUAAAUUAAGAAUAUGAUGAAGAAACAUAGAUCCAAAAACAUUUUCAAGAAUAAAAUCUUACACUUCUCUCAAUAAGAGCUUUUGUUCACUUUAUCCUCUUAUACGUUUUACUAAGCUUCAUAUAAUGUUCUUCCAUUUUAUUUUGCAGGAGAUCUACAAGUUGCUCAUUCUCCAGUCAAUAGUAGAAGUCGAUGUUCUGCAAAAUAAAAUCAAUUUUUUUUAAUUAUUUUGUUUACUAGGCAACAAAAUAAAUACCACUUGAAAUAUGGAUAAACAUACUUUUUCGAGAUAAAAAAUAUAAACAGAAUAAUAAAUAACAAAUUUUAAAAUGAAUUAUUUAUUUUUUUCAUAAAUGUAUUUUGAAAAAUGAGUUAAAAUCUGAUGUUUAACUAUGCAAUUGUAUUAACGAAGGAUGUUUUUGAAACUUAGAAAUAGCCUAAUUCAAACAUGUUAAAAAAGCCUCCUUUGUUUAAUUACCAAAUACUAUGUCAUGCAGCAUGUAUGAUACCUGUUUCAGUCGUGAAGAUGACCACCACCUUCUCCAUAACAAGUAUAUAAAUGUAGAGAGCAUCAAUAUCUUUCAUUCACAAACAAUUAGCUUAGAGUAACUUGUGAAACUAACCAACAAAAGCAAGCUUAGUUUAACAAUGACUCUACAAAGCAAGCAAAUGAUCCUAAUUUUUGGAAUGCUUAUGCUGAUUUCAUUAGCAACUGCCGAAGAGGUUGGCCUAAAAGCCAAUCUAGUACAAUGUCUUGGCAAAUGUGGGGAUGAUGUUCUUUCUUGUGUCACUGGCUGUUACAGUUGGAAAGUUGGGAAUUUCUUGGGUUGUGCCAUAAGUUGUGAAGGAGCUGAUGUACUGUGCAUGACCAGUUGUGCAAGUACCAUUAUGCCUCCAUCUGCUCGUCCGGUUCCACUGACAUAAUCUGCUCCCCGCUGCUUCUAUCAUGAUCGGCCUAUCUAUCCAUAUUUCUUUCUAAUAUUUUUAAGAAUAAUUUCAGUGAAAGUUGUUGAAUCAUAUUCAUGACAUUGAUGUAAGCAUCUGGUGGCUUGCUUGGCCAUUGUAAUUUGCCUUUAGGCAUUUAAUAAUUGUAUUAUGGCAAUAAAAAAAAAUAGUUAAUGUUGAUAUACUAUUA